rnacentral:tRNA from 1 species
UCUAGGCUGGUGUAUGCAAAGCACUUAAAAUUUUCGUUUUUACAGAGGGGGACCACCCCGCCUAGAU